AUUGAACGCUGGCGGCAGGCCUAACACAUGCAAGUCGAGCGGAUGACGGGAGCUUGCUCCUUGAUUCAGCGGCGGACGGGUGAGUAAUGCCUAGGAAUCUGCCUGGUAGUGGGGGACAACGUUUCGAAAGGAACGCUAAUACCGCAUACGUCCUACGGGAGAAAGCAGGGGACCUUCGAGCCUUGCGCUAUCAGAUGAGCAUAGGUCGGAUUAGCUAGUUGGUGGGGUAAUGACUCACCAAGGCGACGAUCCGUAACUGGUCUGAGAGGAUGAUCAGUCACACUGGAACUGAGACACGGUCCAGACUCCUACGGGAGGCAGCAGUGGGGAAUAUUGGACAAUGGGCGAAAGCCUGAUCCAGCCAUGCCGCGUGUGUGAAGAAGGUCUUCGGAUUGUAAAGCACUUUAAGUUGGGAGGAAGGGCAGUAAGUUAAUACCUUGCUGUUUUGACGUUACCGGCAGAAUAAGCACCGGCUAACUCUGUGCCAGCAGCCGCAGUAA
rnacentral:rRNA from 1 species